rnacentral:rRNA from 1 species
UACGUAGGGGGCAAGCGUUGUCCGGAAUUAUUGGGCGUAAAGAGCGCGUAGGCGGUCCGGUAAGUCGGUUGUGAAAGUCGGGGGCUCAACCCUCGGAUGCCGAUCGAUACUGCCGGGCUAGAGUCCGGAAGAGGCGAGUGGAAUUCCUGGUGUAGCGGUGGAAUGCGCAGAUAUCAGGAGGAACACCAAUAGCGAAGGCAGCUCGCUGGGACGGUACUGACGCUAAGGCGCGAAAGCGUGGGGAGCGAACAGG